rnacentral:rRNA from 1 species
AUGUAUGUCAUACUGUGCAUUUUGUAUUUUUUUAUGAAUAUGUUCCUUCAUGAUCAAGUCAAUGUGUGCAAUUCAUCCCUGACAGGAACUCCUAGGGCUAGCCAAUUCACGACAGGGACUUCGAGUACACCAAGUGCAAGACAUGUGACGGAAAACAAUGAGGAACCACAAUUAACUCCGAUGAAGCCUGUCUUUGGUAAUGAUUACAAGUUCACGGAUGAGGACAUAGAGACAGCCGUUUACAUCCGCGGAACAUAUGACCCUGUUGAAAUAGCUAGAAUCGGAGACAUUUCCCUCACAGCAGAAAAUUUGAAGCGAAAUUUGGACGACAAAUACAUUUAUGGUGAUGUUAUUAUGGCAUAUGCUCGCAUUAGCCAAAUUGAAAAUGAUACUACCUCAAUCAUAUCCCCUCAAGAAACCGAAAAGCUGUUACAAAUGAAGGGGGUGGUUCCUGUUGGACGUGCAGCCUCAUGGUUAGCUCAUGUAGCAGGAAAAUUUAUAGGGCACCGAAAGGUGCAUGUCCCACUCAAUGUACACCAAAACCAUUGGAUGCUAAUGAUGUUUAAUUUUGACAAAAAAGAAAUUCAGACUCUGAACUCCAUGAAUUAUCAUCGCGACAAGACCAAGGUGGACUCGAUUCGGUUCUGCAUUGAUGAAGCUGUCAAGAAAGGGUUGAUAUCACCAGCUAAUAACAUCAAUUUUGCCAAAUGGACCAAAAAACGCUAUGAGAACAUACACAACAGACCGAUGGGACUUCCUGCGCGGUUUGGACACUGCAGUACAUGUUGUCAUGGAACGGGGAUGAAAUGA